UACACCCUUGCAGGUACAGCUGUCUAGGUGCAAAUCAUGGGACCAAAAUAAAGGAGUCUGUUGGCAAAGGACUAAUUCAGAUACUGUCUUGAUGCUUUGCGCCCAUCCUUAAAAUUGCCAGGGUUGGGAUGUUUGGGGAAACUUUAGAUACAGGAUGGGGUCAAAACUGUAUGGUCACUUUGUGAGUUACCAUGAAAAGAGUCCACUAAGGGUAUUUACUAGUCCCUGUGCAUUCAUGGCAAGGGCAAAGUAUUCAACUGUUCUCAUGGAAUGUGGGAGGAGCAAGAGAGUGUCGCAGUCUCCACCACUUUCUGCUUCUCACCCCAUCCUGCCCUAUCUUUAGACCCAUUUUUUCCCCACUGAUUUGUGCUAAGAGGAAAUCUCCAUUGGCUCAAGUGUUUAUAAAGCUCUGAAUAACAGCCUUACAAAUAAAUCCUUGUCUACUCUUGGAUAGCCGGGACUAAUUUCCUUUUCUUCCAAAAGAAGGAUGCUCCUGAUGAAGACUUAUAAAUACGUAAAACGAAGGAAGAUUUUCUUCCACUUUUCUGCACUCUGAGAGGGUUGCUCCAGGAUGGGAUUUAUAUGCUAGGGGUGACGAGUGUUCUGAGAGGGCUGGACCUACCAUGACAUAAAAGUGCCAUCUUCUUGGACUCGA